rnacentral:rRNA from 1 species
GACGGACGCUGGCGGCGUGCUUAACACAUGCAAGUCGAACGGUAAGGCCCUUCGGGGUACACGAGUGGCGAACGGGUGAGUAACACGUGGGUGAUCUGCCCUGCACUUCGGGAUAAGCCUGGGAAACUGGGUCUAAUACCGGAUAGGACUCCGGACUGCAUGGUCUGGGGUGUCAAGCUUUUGCGGUGUGGGGUGGGCCCGCGGCCUAUGAGCUUGUUGGUGGGGUGAUGGCCUACCAAGGCGACGACGGGUGGCCGGCCUGAGAGGGUGACCGGACGCACUGGGGCUGAGAUACGGCCCAGAGUCCUACGGGGGGCAGCAGUGGGGAAUAUUGCACAAUGGGCGCAAGCCUGAUGCAGCGACGCCGCGUGAGGGAUGACGGCCUUCGGGUUGUAAACCUCUUUCAGCAUCGACGAAGCGAAAGUGACGGUAGGUGCAGAAGAAGGACCGGCCAACUACGUGCCAGCAGCCGCGGUAA